UGCUGAGGGCUUGAGGAUGGCAUCGUCACUUGUGCACUCACCCACAGUGAGUCACCUCACACUAGUUUACGUGCUACAAGAUGUUAUGGACAUAAGUAACUUUAUAAAGACAAGACUUUAAGAAUAUUGGAAAACUACUCCAUUGUGGUUACAAGUGGAAAACAAUUUAAAGGCUCUUCUUUGGCCUUGGUACUUUUACAGGGUUUCACAUUUCUAAUAGUAAACGCUUCAGAAAGUUUGAAGAAAUAUCCUAUUCUCAGAGAGAGGGUAGGGGAAAGCUUAACUUUAUUUUUCUCUAUCCCUCCCCUCCCAAAGUCCAGAAAACGGGCCCUAAAUUCCCAGGACAGAUUUGUUUCAACCUCAGGACAGUUGCUUAAGCGGUUAAUGCUCAGCAGUACAGAACUUGUUUCCUUUUGUUAACGCUGAGGUUGCUGCGGUACUUGGCCAGCUGUGGAGGUUUGUGAGCUGGACCUCAAGCUAUUAAGAAUAGCUUUGGUUGGUUUUGCCUUAAUCCAAAUGAACAGUUACCAGAGGACAUGAUGUAGAAGAGGUUAUUGGAGGUUAGUUCUUAAAGGUCUUUAAGA
rnacentral:lncRNA from 1 species